rnacentral:rRNA from 1 species
GCCUACCAAGGCGUUAACGGGUAACGGGGAGUCAGGGUUCGAUUCCGGAGAGGGAGCCUGAGAAACGGCUACCACAUCCAAGGACGGCAGCAGGCGCGCAAAUUACCCAAUCCAGACAUUGGGAGGUAGUGACGAGAAAUACUGGGGUGGCUCCUAGCGAGCCUCGCCCGGGAUGGACGUAGCCCAAAAACAUCGGUGAUGAGCUACUGGAGGGCAAGUCUGGUGCCAGCAGCCGCGGUAAUUCCAGCUCCAGUAGUGUAUAUCAACAUUGUUGCGCUUAAAACGCUCGUAGUUGGAAUGGGGGGCGCCGCCAGGGGCCUCUGAAUUUUGGUCGCUGGUUUUGGGUAGGGCCGGAGUCGGCUCUUGAUAAAAGAGUGGCUGGGUGUUUGCCGGGCGCCCCAGAAUCAUGGGCCUCGGUUUCGGUCUUGGUUGACUGGGGCCGGGCGCCGAUGGGGUGUGCCUUGAAUAAACCAUGGUGCUCAAAGCAAGCGGGAAUGCUGGGGUGUGUUAGCAUGGAACGAGUUUUUAGAUCAAGGCCGGGUAUUUGGGCGUCUGAAUUAUUUUGAGAGGUUAGAUAGCCGGUCGGUUAGCGUUGGUGAACCAGGUCUCUACGGUUAAGAGGGACGCCUGGGGGCACUAGUACUCUGUGGCGAGAGGUGAAAUUCUUAGACCCGCAGAAGACUGGCUGGGGCGAAAGCAUUUGCCAAGAGUGUUUUCAUUAAUCAAGAACGAAGGUCAGAGGAUCGAAGACGAUCAGAUACCGUCCUAGUUUUGACAGCAAACGAUGCCGGCCUAGCUGCGGGGCUGCUACUCUUAUGGAGCAGAGCGGCCUCGCUGCUUGAGGGAAACCUAGCUUUCGGGCUGCGGGGAGAAUAUCGCUGCAAGGCUGAAAUUUAAAGAAAUUGACGGAGAGGCACCACCAGGAGUGGAGCCUGCGGCUUAAUUUGACUCAACACGGAAAACUCACCGGGUCCAGACAUUGGUAGGAUUGACAGAGUGGUGGAUCUUUCAUGAUUCAGUGAAUGGUGGUGCAUGGCCGUUCUUAGUUGGUGGAGUGAUCUGUCAGGUCUAUUCCGGUAACGAGCGAGACCGCGGCCCCGUCUGGGUCCGUGGACUUUUUGAGGUGGGGUGCCUAUGAAUUGGGGGCCUAUUAAUUAGUUGAAUUUAUUUGAGUGGGUGGCUAAAUUGGUGGGCUCUGACUUGGGGUUUUGGGAAUUUCGGGGGACUACCGGUUGAAAGCCGGGGUAAGCGCGGCAAUAACAGGUCUGUGAUGCCCUUCGAUGUCCUGGGCUGCACGCGGGCUACAAUGGCGUCAGUAGAGAGUUGCUAGCCUGAGGAGGCCGGCUAACCUGCUAAUGGACGCCGUAACGGGGAUUGAGCCUUGGAAUUGUGGCUCAUGAAAGAGGAAUUCCUCGUAAGGGCCGGUCAUCAGCCGGCCCUGAAUACGUCUCUGCCUCUUGUACACACCGCCCGUCGCUACUACCGAUUGAAUUGUCCUCAAAGGGGGUUGGAGCGGGACAUUUGGGCUGUGUUAAUUUAUAGUUUGAGUUUCUGCAAGGGCCGACGAUGGGGGCCAUUUAGAGGAAGUAAAAGU